GCGUUAAUCGGAAUUACUGGGCGUAAAGCGCGCGUAGGUGGUUUGUUAAGUUGGAUGUGAAAUCCCCGGGCUCAACCUGGGAACUGCAUUCAAAACUGACUGACUAGAGUAUGGUAGAGGGUGGUGGAAUUUCCUGUGUAGCGGUGAAAUGCGUAGAUAUAGGAAGGAACACCAGUGGCGAAGGCGACCACCUGGACUGAUACUGACACUGAGGUGCGAAAGCGUG
rnacentral:rRNA from 1 species